CCAAAAUAGGCAAGCCGAGUUUACUACUAACUCGUAAAAAGUAGUAAAUAAAUAAGUGCUAACUUAUUUGCAAGUCCAAAACUUGCUCCAGUUUACGCAUAAAAAAACGUAAACCAUCCGCUCAUCGACUCUCGAUAGGUGAAAACGGGUGCCAUAAAUCGAGAUAGACAAUUAUUUCUGCUUCAAGUAAUUGUUGAAAAUUAGAAGCUAAGAAUAUUAAAAUUUUGUCUAUUUUCAUAUUUAAUAUUCUAAAAAUAAAUAGACUAAACUUGUAGAACUAUUUUAG
rnacentral:tmRNA from 1 species